AAGAUAUUUAGGUACGAAUGAUUGAAUUAGAAAAUUGGUAUUAGCUUUGUGGAUGGGCGAAUGGUGAGAUUGAUAGGAAGUUGCUUAGAAAAGAAAAUAAAGAAAAAAGAAAUGGGAGAAGGGGCAAAUGGCAAUUGUCAAAGUCAACUGAAACCAAUCAAAUGGACAGAAUUUAUUGUGAUUCGGGUUUGGCCAAUGUCCUCGUUCCUACAUGCGCGUUCUAUGAAUUCAAUGUUGUCAUGUUAUGGAGCAGAGAGAGAUUCCGAACGCGGUUUCGCUUUGGACGUUGCCAAUGGGCAGCUAUCAUCAUCAUCAUCCCUCUCAACACUCUUCCAUGGCCCACGUGUUCAUCAAAUGCAUAUAAAUUUAAAGACAUUCUGACAAAGGUUUCUGUG
rnacentral:lncRNA from 1 species